rnacentral:rRNA from 1 species
AUUGAACGCUGGCGGCAUGCCUUACACAUGCAAGUCGAACGGCAGCGGGGACUUCGGUCCGCCGGCGAGUGGCGAACGGGUGAGUAAUGUAUCGGAACGUACCAUUGAGUGGGGGAUAACUAUCCGAAAGGAUAGCUAAUACCGCAUAUUCUCUCCGGAGGAAAGCAGGGGACCGCAAGGCCUUGCGCUCAUUGAGCGGCCGAUAUCAGAUUAGCUAGUUGGUGAGGUAAAGGCUCACCAAGGCGACGAUCUGUAGCGGGUCUGAGAGGAUGAUCCGCCACACUGGAACUGAGACACGGUCCAGACUCCUACGGGAGGCAGCAGUGGGGAAUUUUGGACAAUGGGGGCAACCCUGAUCCAGCCAUGCCGCGUGAGUGAAGAAGGCCUUCGGGUUGUAAAGCUCUUUCGGCCGGGAAAAAAUCGCAUGGGUUAAUACCCUGUGUGGAUGAUGGUACCGGAAUAAGAAGCACCGGCUAACUGCGUGCCAGCCGCCGCCGUAAUAC